CAGUCGCCACGGGAAUACGUAGGGGGCAAGCGUUAUCCGGAAUUACUGGGUGUAAAGGGAGCGUAGACGGUCAAACAAGUCUGAAGUGAAAUGCCGGGGCUCAACCCCGGAGCUGCUUUGGGAACUGUAGAACUGGAGUGUCGGAGGGGUAAGCGGAAUUCCCAGUGUAGCGGUGAAAUGCGUAGAUAUUGGGAGGAACACCGGCGGCGAAGGCGGCUUACUGGACGACAACUGACGUUGAGGCUCGAAGGCGUGGGUAGCAAACAGGAUUAGAUACCCGCGUAGUCCCUGUCUCUUAUAC
rnacentral:rRNA from 1 species